AGAAUACAAUAAAAAUAUUGAAAAAAUGCAACCGGGACACAUGGACACCUCAGCCUCACCGAUGGAAAACCAGAAAAUAACAUGGUUCAAGGACCACAGCCCAAAGAGGACCACCAGGACCACAGUCCAAAGCCCUCAGCCAAGCUGAAGAAUGGCCAUCCAGCAGAGCUAAUCAGAUAAGCGCUGAAUAAGUGUAGCCCACUAAUACUAAAGCCGCUUCAAAUCCUUACACGGCACGUCUAGCUUGCCACGUCGAGAGAGGGAACUUAGGAUGACUCCAACUAAAAGGACAGGCCUCGCCCUCGGAACCCUAUGGACCGUCACACAAGGCGCAGCUGAAUAAACCCGGAAACAGGUGAGUCCGCUUCUCCUCUCUCAUUGUUUAUACACCGUUGGUCGUAUGUCCGUUGGCGCUUUUCUUCGCCUAUUUCGACCUCUAAAUACUUCCGUGCCUCUAAAGUAGAUAUAAAGUAGAUAAAGUAGAUAUAAACUUUGUGUUAAGCUGAGUAUUCUGUUCAGCCUUCCAAGCGGAAUGCUAUAAAAAUCCAUACAAGUAGUACUCUGCUUAUAAAGAAGAAAAUGGCAAAAACUAUUAUAGUGGCCACACUUGAAACUAUUGCCGGCAUCAUUCUUGUGUGUUCUACUAGUUUGAUUGGUUUGUUUUCUUUAUGUAUUUGAUAAUAAAAAAAAUGUUUAUAUAUAGUAGAGAAACCAUAAAUGCAGAUAAAAAAAACGAGCUUUGGAAGCAAAAACAUUUGAUUGCUGUCAAAUUUCGCUCGCGAAUCAAUUAAAAAUUUCAGCGGCUAUUUCUUUAAGCUUGUCCUUAGACCAAAAGAAUUAUCGUUAGAACCGAGCUUUUAGAAUAAGUUUCGCGAUUACGUGCGUGUGUAAGAAAAUAAACAGGUAUGUUUCGAAAACACGGGGGGAAAAUAAAUAAAGGAAUCUCCGGGAAACAAGUAUAUAAAGAAAAAAAAAACGAAGCCAAUAAGUGCUUGGGUUCCUUUCUACGACUGUCGAUUCCGCUUACCUUUAGCACAUAUUCGGGCCACUGCCCUUCGCGGCUAAAGCUUUCCCCAGACCGUUCACUUUUCCAAAAAUAUACGUGGUGCUGACCACCAAUCUGGACAUGUGCACAAGAGCCAUCGUUACCGGAUAC
rnacentral:sRNA from 14 species